UACGUAGGGUGCAAGCGUUGUCCGGAAUUAUUGGGCGUAAAGAGCUCGUAGGCGGUUUGUCGUGUCUGCUGUGAAAACCCGAGGCUCAACCUCGGGCCUGCAGUGGGUACGGGCAGACUAGAGUGCGGUAGGGGAGAUUGGAAUUCCUGGUGUAGCGGUGGAAUGCGCAGAUAUCAGGAGGAACACCAAUGGCGAAGGCAGAUCUCUGGGCCGUAACUGACGCUGAGGUGCGAAAGCGUGGGGAGCAAACAGG
rnacentral:rRNA from 1 species